GCCCGACCUCCCAACCCUUUGUUUACAGAACCUCUGUUGCUUCGGCGGACCCGUCUCACGACCGCCGGAGGACCGCCGAGAGGCGUCCUCUGGUCAGUGUCCGUCGAUAGCCCAACUUAAACCCUGAAUGAAUCGUGUCGUAUGUCUAAGUCCAAGAUUAAAUAAAGCAAAACUUUCAACAACGGAUCUCUUGGUUCUGGCAUCGAUGAAGAACGCAGCGAAAUGCGAUAAGUAAUGCGAAUUGCAGAAUUCCAGUGAGUCAUCGAAUCUUUGAACGCACAUUGCGCCCUUUGGUAUUCCGAAGGGCAUGCCUGUUCGAGCGUCAUUAUCACCCCUCAAGCCCUGUGCUUGGUGUUGGACGGCUGGUCGCGCGAGUGACCCCUCCCAAAGACAAUGACGGCGGCCUGUGGUUCCCCCGGUACACUGAGCUUUUCAUCGAGCACGUGUCGGAUAAGGGCGCCCGGGACACGGUCCUCUCCUCUCACGAGGAAAUUUUAUCAAGGUUGACCUCGGAUCAGGUAGGAAUACGCGCUGAACUUAAGCAUAUCAAUAAGCGCAGGAAAAGAAACCAACAGGGAUUGCCUCAGUAACGGCGAGUGAAGCGGCAAUAGCUCAAAUUUGAAAUCUGGCCUCUUGAGGUCCGAGAUGUAAUUUGUAGAGGAUGUUUUGGGCACCGCCCCGGUUUAAAUUUCUUGGAACAGAAUGUCAGAGAGGGUGAGAAUCCCGUCUUGGACCGGCGUAGGGCCUGUAUAAAACUCCUUCGACGAGUCGAGUUGUUUGGGAAUGCAGCUCAAAAUGGGUGGUAAAUUUCAUCUAAAGCUAAAUAUUGGCCAGAGACCGAUAGCGCAC
rnacentral:rRNA from 1 species